AUGAGUGACAAUCCCCUCAGUCCUCUUACGAUGUUCUCGCUGAGGUUUGGUGGCCUCCCGGGCCACCCUCCGGGGAAGGUCCCAGCUAGCAUCCCCGACACCUCUCGCCCCCCCUCCACCCGUUUUGAAGCCUCCACGCACCAGCCACACGGUCACCCAGAGACUCCGGGAAAAGCCUCGUGUCCGUCCCUCGGCAGCGAACGUGAACAACGUCUCCCCUCAGCAGCCCGCGGCUGGGAAGCUCCUGGUCACACACCACUGUCCCCAAGACUCAGGGACACGGUGCCCCCACCCCCAACACCCACACCCCAGCCCCGCUGCGCCUCCGCCUCCCUCAGACACGUCUGCCUGCUUCCCUCUGCCGCCACACUUGCACACGCACACACUCACUCUCAAGCACACACACACGCUCAAGCAUGUGCACACACAGGCUCAAGCACACUCCUGCUUGCACACACUCGCUCUCAAGCACACACACACGCUCAAGCACGUGCACACUCAAGCACACUCACGCUCACUCUCAGGCACACUCACUCUCAGGCACACUCACACACACACACACUCAAGCACACUCACACACACACACACAUUCUCAGGCACACUUCGCUCUCAGGCCACUCACACACGCACACAUUCUCAGGCACACUCACUCUCAGGCACACUCACUCAAGCACACUCAUGCUUGCGCACACACUUGCUCUCAAGCAUUCACACUCACUCAAGCACACCCAUGCUCACUCUCAGGCACACUCACUCUCACUCUCAAGCACACCACACACGCUCAAGCACACUCACGCUCACUCUCAGGCACACUCACACACACACACACGCUCAAGCACACUCACACCCUCAAGCACACUCACACCCUCAAGCACACUCCUCCUUGCACACACUCGCUCUCAAGCACACACACACACGCUCAAGCACACUCACAUGCUCAAGCACACUCACACCCUCAAGCACACUCCUGCUUGCACACACUCGCUCUCAAGCACACACACACGCUCAAGCACGUGCACACUCAAGCACACUCACGCUCACUCUCAGGCACACUCACACACACGCUCAAGCACACUCACACACGCACACAUUCUCAGGCACACUUCGCUCUCAGGCACACUCACACACAUGCUCAAGCACACUCACAUGCUCAAGCACACUCAUGCUUGCGCACACACUUGCUCUCAAGCAUUCACACACACUCAAGCACACUCACGCUCACUCUCAGGCACACUCACUCUCACUUUCAAGCACACUUGCACACACACACAUUCUCAGGCACACUCACUCUCACUCUCAAGCACACUCACACACACACACACUCGCUCUCAAGCACACUCACACACACGCUCAAGCACACUCACACCCUCAAGCACACUCCUCCUUGCACACACUCGCUCUCAAGCACACACACACACGCUCAAGCACACUCACAUGCUCAAGCACACUCACACACACACACACUCAAGCACACUCCUGCUUGCACACACUCACUCUCAGGCACACUUGCUCUCAAGCACACACACACGCUCAAGCACGUGCACACUCAAGCACACUCACACACGCUCAAGCACACUCACAUGCUCAAGCACACUCACACAACACGCUCAAGCACACUCACACACACACACACAUUCUCAGGCACACUCACUCUCACUCUCAAGCACACUCACACACACGCUCAAGCACACUCACACACAUGCUCAAGCACACUCAUGCUUGCGCACACACUUGCUCUCAAGCAUUCACACUCACUCAAGCACACUCACACAACACGCUCAAGCACACACCUCAAGCACACUCACGCUCACUCUCAGGCACACUUCGCUCUCAGGCACACUUCGCUCUCAGGCACACUCACUCUCAAGCACACUCACACACACACACACACUCGCUCUCAAGCACACUCACACACACGCUCAAGCACACUCACACCCUCAAGCACACUCCUCCUUGCACACACUCACUCUCACUCUCAAGCACACACACACACACACCUCAAGCACACUCACACACACGCUCAAGCACACUCACACCCUCAAGCACACUCACACCCUCAAGCACACUCCUGCUUGCACACACUCGCUCUCAAGCACGUGCACACUCACUCAAGCACACUCACGCUCACUCUCAGGCACACUCACACACACGCUCAAGCACACACCCUCAAGCACACUCUUGCUUGCACACACUCACUCUCAAGCACACACACACACGCUCAGCACACUCACACACGCUCAAGCACACUCACACCCUCAAGCACACUCCUGCUGCACACACUCGCUCUCAGGCACACUCACACAACACGCUCAAGCACGUGCACACUCAAGCACACUCACACACUCACACACACGCUCAAGCACACUCACGCUCACUCUCAGGCACACUCACACACGCUCAAGCACACACACACACACGCUCAGCACACUCACACACUCACACACAUGCUCAAGCACACUCACACACAUUAUCAAGCACACACACACACACACACGCUCAAGCACACACCUCAAGCACACUCACGCUCAAGCACACUCAUGCUUGCGCACACACUUGCUCUCAAGCACUCACACACACGCUCAAGCACGUGCACACUCACUCAAGCACACCCAUGCUCACAGGCACACUCACUCUCACUUUCAAGCACACUUGCACACACACACAUUCUCAGGCACACUUGCUCUCAAGCACACACACACACACUCAGGCACACUCACACACAUGGUCAAGCAUGUGCACACUCAAGUACACCCAUGCUCAUUCUCAGGCACACUCACUCUCACUUUCAAGCACACUCGCACAUGCACACUCACACACAUUAUCAAGCACACACACUCUCAAGCAUACGCAUUUUCGAGCACACUCACACACUCACACACCGACAUCAGUAACUGCCCAUGCGGGCAAAGCAGUCCACGUCGGCAGCGUCUCCCGCGGGACUCACACCCUGGCGGCCGCACGGGCUCACCCGGGAGACGCUGUGCGUGGCUCCACACCGCCCCACUGGAGCCAACGUCCCAACGAGGAGAGUCAAACGACUUCCGGGUUUCCCAGUGCACAAAAAAGUCACGCUCACACAACACCGCAGGCUAA
ensembl:lncRNA